GAAGUUGACUUUGGAGCGUUGAGGUUCCGAGCCCCUCUCGGGGGCUAGCGAACGCCUCGGGAGAGGGACCACGAGGAAGCCCCUAGGCUUUCUCAGCCUCGGGAGCCCAGCUCUGCUGCUGCUGUCCCGCCCCGUGCGGGGCAGCCGGCCCGGCGCGCCCGGCCCUCUGCUUACGUGACUGGUGGCCACGCCGGAGCCCCGGCACGGGAUCCGCACAGGCUCUGGCUUUUCAUAAACUAUUCUCCUGACGAAUGCACAACCGACACGACCACCGGCCCGCCAAUAAUCACAAUCUGAUUCUGCUACACGGCCGGCGAUGCGCCUUUCUCGAAACCGAGGCAAGCACUCC